CUUCCUGUUUUCAUGAAUAACAGCCACUGAGACAGAGCCACGCUUGUGCACGCACUGUCUAUUACUGAGCUCCCUCCGGAAUGGCGGAGUCAAGUGCCAGCAAGACGAACCGCACAAACUGCAAAGCCUAUUUACUCGCUGACUGUCAAGGACGUUUGCAGGCUCCUCCUAGAAGACCCUGAAGAGGGCACGUUUCUCCAGCCCCGCUGCUGUCCUUUCCCCCAACAUCAAGCCUUCUCCUCCACUCCCCAUUCUUUGGGGAGAGAAAGGUGACUCCUAUGCCUGUGAAAAAGAAGGGAGGUUCUGAAAAAAAUCGAGUUUACUGGGUCAGAUCUCUCUCCCCUCCCUUCUGGAUCAGUCAUGACAUCUGGUACUAAGUGUGCUAAACAAUGACAUCCAGCAGAAUGGAGUUAAGGUGCCAAGGAUCUGCUGAAUACACAGGCAGAUGUUCUAGAAUCCUGAACUUUGGAGGUCCCAGGAAAAAGCAAUAGGAGAAAAGCCAAGUCAGUCCCGGCUGGGCAGACCAGGGGACUCUGGAGGGAAGGUCAGAGGCAGCGUCUGGAGCGGCCAGGUGUCAGCCAGCGUUCCGUCCGCUUCCUCACCCACGGCCAAGUAUGUGACGGGGGUCCACACAUCAAGAAAGGGUCUGCCUGGUUGGCCACAGGGAAGGAUCGGCACUGCCAGUUCAGAGACCUGCCCACCACGAGAAAACCUAUUUCCAUCCAACUUCUACAAGUGGGUGGACAAGAAAGCCCACUGACUGGAAGCUCCCUGAAUCCUGCUAAACCGAAGGAGCUGCAUUUCAUCAUGAGCGACAUAUAUGUCCACUCAUCACAAUGCAGUUUUCCUGGGACUUCUAGAAAGAAAUGAAAUUCUACAUGGGCCCCUGGCUUCUGUGGCUCCAGGAAGAGGGACUGAUGUCUGCCCACGGACAAACUGGCUCACCCAGCUUCCACAAAACCUAGUCAGGCCCCUAGGGAUUGGACUUGAACGACAUUAUCAAAGAGAAACUGCAAAGUGAGUCAAAAUAAAAAGCUUUUCAUGG